ensembl:lncRNA
UGACAAUUUAACAAUUGUUUUAAAUUGUAUCCACUAUAGUAGAAAGAACUUUGGACAUUGAUUUCACCUCGGGAUGUGUUUCUCCGAGUGUAAAAUGAAGAGGUUGGACUAAAUAGCCUUAAGACCUUACUAGCUAUAAAAUCUCAUGAUAUUAUUUCAUCUUCCCCGAAGCCCUGAAUGUGAGCUAAGUAUAAUUAACAAUAACUGAUAUUCACAAAAACAUUAAAGCUUGCAAGUGAUUUUCCAUCAGUUUUCCUAUUUCAACCUCCCAACCACUCUGUGAGGUAGGCACUAUAAUUACUAUUGCUUCCCCUUUUUGUAGGUGAGGCCACUGAGGCAUAGAGUUUCAGUGACUUGCUCAUGGCCACACAGCAAUUAAGGGUGGAAAGAAUUUGAGCCAGUGUCUUCUAUUCUUGGAGAGCUAUACAUUCUCUAUUAUAUCACGAUGCCCCUUAUUAUUUUUUUUAUUUUGUAAAUUAUUAUUAUUAUUUUCAUUGAUAAAUUUAUUUUCAGGAAACUGAGUUUACAUGGUUUGUCUUAGUAACCUGUCAGAGAUGACCCAGCAUCCUUCACCCUAUCACAGAGAGGCCAGGUCUGGCUUUCUGAGGGAGAAAAGGAGGAAGGAUAAGACUGUUGGCCUGGAAAUUACAGAGGUCCAACUGGUAAAGCAGACCCUGUAAUGGUGAAGAUUAAGGAAGGAGUUGGAGUCCCAUUACUGGCAGGGAAAUGGAGUACCUUGUUGAGUGAAGGAUCAGUUGGACAAGUAAGGAAACUGAGGCAUGGAAGGCAAAGGAGUUUGUCAUAUUCAUGCGGUGAAAAAAAAAGAUAACUUUAUUUAUCAGAAAGCACCAGCAGUCCUGUCACUGGAUCAUUCCUUGUUUAAUCAGAAGGCUUUCCAUGCUGAUACUGCAAUCAUUCAUUCUUUGGAUUCCUUUCCACAUUCCAAGAAGUAUCUUCAUUAUUAAUCAUAUAGAUCCAAUGUAUACUCCAUGAGGUAAAAGAGACAGAGAAGGACUCUUACAUUCUGAUGUAGUUUCUUCCACCAGUUUCUCUUCCAAGAUGUAAUGUCUGGAGAACAGCAGGCAGAGGGAGGUGACAUCAGAAGCAGAAGGUAAAAUUGUGUUAAAGGUAACAGAGAUUGGGAGAGACACAGAUGCUAAGACACAUAUGUCCCUGCAGCUGCCAGUUUUAGAUUUGUCAAACCCUCCAUGGUGUUUGAGAAUGACUCUGCCUCAGUGCUGGAGUUGCAGGGACAGAACUGAGCAUGAGCAAUGGGACUCUGGAACUCUGGAUGAGAAAUCAUGUGUUCCUUUUUGUCUAUUUAGUUGUAACUACUGAAGCUUCUGCAACUGUCUAAUACAUUCAUAAAUUAAUUGCUUGCCAUUAGCCAUAGUUCUAUUAUAUGACACUGUACUUCCAAUUAACUCUAUUUUCUAUGUUCUUGCUGUGUUUAAAAAUGAAUGAAUGAAUUAGAGAAUGAAUGAUAGAGUAAGUGAAUGAAUGAAUGAACAAAAACAUAGCUAAGUGGUGCAGUGGAUAGAACACCAGGCCUGGAGUCAGGAAGACUCAUCUUCCUGAGUUCAAAUAUGAUACUUAAUAGCUGUGUGACCUUGGGAAAGUCACUUAACCCUGUUUGCCUCAGUUUCUUCAUCUGUAAAAUAAGCUGGAGAAAAAAAUGACAAAUCACCCCAGUAUUUCUGCCAAGAAAACCCCAAAUUAGGUCACACAGAGUCGG